AUUGAACGCUGGCGGCAGGCCUAACACAUGCAAGUCGAACGAGCGGCGGACGGGCGAGCUAUGCUUGGGAAUCUUGCUUAUGGAGGGGGACAAUUACGGGACACUGCAGCUAACACCGUGCACCUUAGGAUGAGCCCAAGUGGGUCUAGGUUGGUGGUGGGGCAAAGGCAGACCAAGCCGCCGAUCUCUAACUGGUCUGAGAGCAUGACCAGCCAAACUGGGACUGAGAAACGGCCCAGACUCCUACGGGAGGCAGCAGUGGGGAAUAUUGCGCAAUGGGGGAAACCUGACGCAGCCAAGCCGCGUGAGUGAAGAAGGGCUUCGGGUUGUAAAGUUCUUUAGGUAGGGAGGCGUUAACUACAGAAGAAGCACCGGCUAACUCCGUGCCAGCAGCCGCGGUAAUUC
rnacentral:rRNA from 1 species